AACGAACGCUGGCGGCAUGCCUAACACAUGCAAGUCGAACGAGACCUUCGGGUCUAGUGGCGCACGGGUGCGUAACGCGUGGGAACCUGCCCUUAGGUUCGGAAUAACUCCCCGAAAGGGGUGCUAAUACCGGAUAAUGUCUUCGGACCAAAGAUUUAUCGCCUUUGGAUGGGCCCGCGUUGGAUUAGCUAGUUGGUAGGGUAAAAGCCUACCAAGGCGACGAUCCAUAGCUGGUCUGAGAGGAUGAUCAGCCACACUGGGACUGAGACACGGCCCAGACUCCUACGGGAGGCAGCAGUGGGGAAUAUUGGACAAUGGGCGAAAGCCUGAUCCAGCAAUGCCGCGUGAGUGAUGAAGGCCUUAGGGUUGUAAAGCUCUUUUACCCGGGAUGAUAAUGACAGUACCGGGAGAAUAACCUCCGGCUAACUCCGUG
rnacentral:rRNA from 1 species